rnacentral:rRNA from 1 species
UACGGGGGGGGCAAGCGUUGUUCGGAAUUACUGGGCGUAAAGGGCUCGUAGGCGGCCAACUAAGUCAGACGUGAAAUCCCUCGGCUUAACCGGGGAACUGCGUCUGAUACUGGAUGGCUUGAGUUUGGGAGAGGGAUGCGGAAUUCCAGGUGUAGCGGUGAAAUGCGUAGAUAUCUGGAGGAACACCGGUGGCGAAGGCGGCAUCCUGGACCGACACUGACGCUGAGUGCGCGAAAGCCAGGGGAGCAAACGGG